AUAAGGGCGCACGGUGGAUGCCUUGGCACUAGGAGCCGAUGAAGGACGGGACUAACACCGAUAUGCUUUGGGGAGCUGUACGUAAGCUAUGAUCCAGAGAUUUCCGAAUGGGGGAACCCAGCAUCUUUAAUAGGAUGUUACGAUUGUGUGAAUACAUAGCACAUUCGAGGUAGACGCAGAGAACUGAAACAUCUAAGUACCUGCAGGAAGAGAAAGAAAAUUCGAUUCCCUGAGUAGCGGCGAGCGAAACGGGAAAAGCCCAAACCAACAAGCUUGC
rnacentral:rRNA from 1 species